GACGAACGCUGGCGGCGUGCUUAAUACAUGCAAGUCGAACGGAAAGGCCCUGCCUUUGUGGGGUGCUCGAGUGGCGAACGGGUGAGUAACACGUGAGUAACCUGCCCUUGACUUUGGGAUAACUUCAGGAAACUGGGGCUAAUACCGGAUAGGAGCUCCUGCUGCAUGGUGGGGGUUGGAAAGUUUCGGCGGUUGGGGAUGGACUCGCGGCUUAUCAGCUUGUUGGUGGGGUAGUGGCUUACCAAGGCUUUGACGGGUAGCCGGCCUGAGAGGGUGACCGGCCACAUUGGGACUGAGAUACGGCCCAGACUCCUACGGGAGGCAGCAGUGGGGAAUAUUGCACAAUGGGCGGAAGCCUGAUGCAGCAACGCCGCGUGCGGGAUGACGGCCUUCGGGUUGUAAACCGCUUUCGCCUGUGACGAAGCGUGAGUGACGGUAAUGGGUAAAGAAGCGCCGGCUAACUACGUG
rnacentral:rRNA from 1 species